rnacentral:tRNA from 1 species
AAAUAUGAAGCAAUAUUAUGCAUUUAAUUUCGACUUAAAAGAAAGAGUCAUUACUCCAUAUUUU